ACAGAGGGUGCGAGCGUUGUUCGGAAUUACUGGGCGUAAAGCGCGCGCAGGCGGCUGCUUAAGUCCGUCGGUCAAAUGCCGGGGCUCAACCCCGAGCGUGCCGAGGAUACUGGGCGUCUUGACUCACGCAGAGGUCGGCGGAAUUCCCGGUGUAGUGGUGGAAUGCGUAGAGAUCGGGAGGAACCUCGAAAGCGAAGGCAGCCGACUGGGCGCUGAGUGACGCUGAGGGACGAAAGCGUGGGGAGCGAACAGGA
rnacentral:rRNA from 1 species